AUGGUGCAUUUUACUGCCGAGGAGAAGGCUGCUAUCACUGGCCUGUGGGGCAAAGUCAAUGUGGAAGAGGCUGGAGGCGAGGCCCUGGGCAGGCUCCUGGUUGUCUACCCCUGGACCCAGAGGUUCUUUGAUAGCUUUGGCAACCUGUCCUCUGCCUCUGCCAUAAUGGGAAACCCCAAGGUCAAGGCCCACGGCAAGAAGGUGCUGACCUCCUUUGGAGAAGCUAUUAAGAAUUUGGACAACCUCAAAGGUGCCUUCGCUAAGCUGAGUGAGCUUCACUGUGACAAGUUGCACGUGGAUCCUGAGAACUUCAGGCUCCUGGGCAAUGUGAUUGUGAUUAUUCUGGCUACUCAUUUUGGCAGAGAAUUCACCCCUGACGUGCAGUCUGCCUGGCAGAAGCUGGUGUCUGGUGUUGCCACUGCUCUGGCCCACAAGUACCACUGAAUUCUC
rnacentral:lncRNA from 1 species